AGAUAUGUUUGAUAUAUUUGGUGGUGCCUCUUACAGUCCACCAGAUAUCAAACAUGUCAUG
rnacentral:pre_miRNA from 1 species